UUCGGUUCAGGGCACCCGGUCUAGCACUAAGAUUGUCUUGACAGAGGUGGCUCCAAGUUGUAAGUUACCUGAGAAAAACUGUUCUUCUGACGUUGAAUGACCAUGGUUAGACCACGUGUACAGGUUACAGCGCUAGCGCGAAAACAGACUGGGGACAAGAAGACAUGUGCGGCGAAGGGAGGGAUCAGGAAAGGACGAUACAGACCAGGGAAUGUAGUCCUGAAACGCCUACAUGACAUGUCGAAGGGAAAGGCGAUGUUGGCGAUCCUCAGACAGACGUGCAAAGACCAGCGGCUCUGUUCCCAGGCUCCACGGCGACUUGUUCCCAGGGACCUGAUGUUGGCCAAACGGAUCCGCGGAAGUACAAGUGACGAGAUUUAACCUGUCAGCUUCCACAGGACUAUGCAUGGAUUAGAAUAACUGUUAAAUGAUCCAAGAACUUCAGAUUCACAAAUACAAGGCGCCACAGCAGACACACAAGUAGUAAAAUCACCACUGCAGAGUCAAUAUACUAGAUCGGCAAUGUUUUUCAUUCAAUUGAAUUGCAAACAUAUCGUUAUCAAGGCAACUUUGUACUCUUCACUUGAAUGUGGUAACGAUGAAUGUUAGACGAGGCGUAUGCAUCUUGCCGUCAUUUUAAAUCUCAACCUAAUAAAUCUUGAAGCUAUGGCUUUAACUGUCA